AGUGAACGCUGGCGGUAGGCCUAACACAUGCAAGUCGAACGGCAGCACAGUAAGAGCUUGCUCUUACGGGUGGCGAGUGGCGGACGGGUGAGGAAUACAUCGGAAUCUACUUUUUCGUGGGGGAUAACGUAGGGAAACUUACGCUAAUACCGCAUACGACCUACGGGUGAAAGCAGGGGAUCUUCGGACCUUGCGCGAUUGAAUGAGCCGAUGUCGGAUUAGCUAGUUGGCGGGGUAAAGGCCCACCAAGGCGACGAUCCGUAGCUGGUCUGAGAGGAUGAUCAGCCACACUGGAACUGAGACACGGUCCAGACUCCUACGGGAGGCGGCAGUGGGGAGUAUUGGACAAUGGGCGCAAGCCUGAUCCAGCCAUACCGCGUGGGUGAAGAAGGCCUUCGGGUUGUAAAGCCCUUUUGUUGGGAAAGAAAAGCAGCAGGUUAAUACCCCGCUGUUCUGACGGUACCCAAAGAAUAAGCACCGGCUAACUUCGUG
rnacentral:rRNA from 1 species